rnacentral:rRNA from 1 species
UACGUAGGGUGCGAGCGUUAAUCGGAAUUACUGGGCGUAAAGCGUGCGUAGGCGGUUGGCAAAGUCAGCUGUGAAAGCCCCGGGCUUAACCUGGGAACUGCGGUUGAAACUAGUCGACUCGAAUCUGGCAGAGGGGGGUGGAAUUCCACGUGUAGCAGUGAAAUGCGUAGAGAUGUGGAGGAACACCGAUGGCGAAGGCAGCCCCCUGGGCUGAGAUUGACGCUCAGGCACGAAAGCGUGGGGAGCAAACAGG